ACCACCCUUUAAUGGCUGGUGUUCUAACGUGGGCCCCUGACCGGGGUUGCGGACAGUGUCUGGUGGGUAGUUUGACUGGGGCGGUCUCCUCCCAAAGAGUAACGGAGGAGCACGAAGGUUGGCUAAUCCUGGUCGGACAUCAGGAGGUUAGUGCAAUGGCAUAAGCCAGCUUGACUGCGAGCGUGACGGCGCGAGCAGGUGCGAAAGCAGGUCAUAGUGAUCCGGUGGUUCUGAAUGGAAGGGCCAUCGCUCAACGGAUAAAAGGUACUCCGGGGAUAACAGGCUGAUACCGCCCAAGAGUUCAUAUCGACGGCGGUGUUUGGCACCUCGAUGUCGGCUCAUCACAUCCUGGGGCUGAAGUAGGUCCCAAGGGUAUGGCUGUUCGCCAUUUAAAGUGGUACGCGAGCUGGGUUUAGAACGUCGUGAGACAGUUCGGUCCCUAUCUGCCGUGGGCGCUGGAAGAUUGAGGGGGGCUGCUCCUAGUACGAGAGGACCGGAGUGGACGCAUCACUGGUGUUCGGGUUGUCAUGCCAAUGGCACUGCCCGGUAGCUAAAUGCGGAAGAGAUAAGUGCUGAAAGCAUCUAAGCACGAAACUUGCCCCGAGAUGAAUCUUCCCUGAGACUUUAAGUCUCCUGAAGGAACGUUGAAGACGACGACGUUGAUAGGCCGGGUGUGUAAGCGCAGCGAUGCGUUGAGCUAACCGGUACUAAUGAACCGUGAGGCUUAACCUUACAACGC
rnacentral:rRNA from 1 species